rnacentral:rRNA from 1 species
AUUGAACGCUGGCGGCAGGCCUAACACAUGCAAGUCGAGCGGAGCGGCGGACGGGUGAGUAAUGCCUAGGAAUCUGCCUGGUAGUGGGGGAUAACGUCCGGAAACGGGCGCUAAUACCGCAUACUAUCAGAUGAGCCUAGGUCGGAUUAGCUAGUUGGUGGGGUAAAGGCCUACCAAGGCGACGAUCCGUAACUGGUCUGAGAGGAUGAUCAGUCACAGUGGAACUGAGAACACGGUCAGAACACCAAGGGCGGGAGGAGUGGGGAAUUAUUGACCAUGGGAGAAAGGCCUAUACAGCCAAGGCGGGUGUUGGGAGAAGGUUUUGGAAUUGAAAAGCCUUUUAGGUGGGAAGAGGUAGCCAACAAAAAAGCACCGGCUAACUUCGUGCCAGCCGCCGCGGUAAUUC